AAUAAGUACAGUUUUGUACUAUUCAUGUUCAAUAUUUGACUGUUCGUCUUAUUUGAAAAAAUUUUAUGAUUAGUAUUUUUAUUGCUAUUAGAUGAUAAAACAUGAAUAGUACUUUAUGUGUGACUAAAUAUUUUCAAAUUUUUUAAAUAAGAUGGACGGUCAAACGUUGGGCACAGAUAUCCACGGCUGCACUUAUU
rnacentral:pre_miRNA from 1 species